rnacentral:rRNA from 1 species
UGGGGAAUAUUGCACAAUGGGCGCAAGCCUGAUGCAGCCAUGCCGCGUGUAUGAAGAAGGCCUUCGGGUUGUAAAGUACUUUCAGCGGGGAGGAAGGGAGUAAAGUUAAUACCUUUGCUCAUUGACGUUACCCGCAGAAGAAGCACCGGCUAACUCCGUGCCAGCAGCCGCGGUAAUACGGAGGGUGCAAGCGUUAAUCGGAAUUACUGGGCGUAAAGCGCACGCAGGCGGUCUGUCAAGUCGGAUGUGAAAUCCCCGGGCUCAACCUGGGAACUGCAUUCGAAACUGGCAGGCUAGAGUCUUGUAGAGGGGGGUAGAAUUCCAGGUGUAGCGGUGAAAUGCGUAGAGAUCUGGAGGAAUACCGGUGGCGAAGGCGGCCCCCUGGACAAAGACUGACGCUCAGGUGCGAAAGCGUGUGGAGCAAACAGG